rnacentral:sRNA from 1 species
GAGAAACUGUAAAAUAAAGGCCAGACAACAUUAAAUAAGGCACGGUGGAGGCCACCGUAGCGCAGAGGGAAUCAUCAUGAUAAAGAUUAUCAAGACUACACUUAACACAUGGUUCUUCAUUAAACUGGACGGGUAUGACUGCAGAUCAUUUCUAACGAAGAUUUUGAAAUUCGACUUGCUCAGCCAAAUUGAACGUUUAUUCAACCAGUUGCGAAAAGUCAAUAUGGAAUUAUCUUCAUCAUCAACACAUCUUUAUGAUAGUAAUCAACAUGAACUUAUGGCAUUGAUACAAAAUGGCAAACUGUUUUACAGGUCAGCAUGUGUUGAAAAUUCAGCAAAAUCUCGUCAUUGUCAUGAGUAAGCCUCUUAAUUUUGAUUCUUGUUGGACAUAUUCAGACAAAUGAUCUGUCAGUUUUUCCCUCGGACGCAAUUUUUGAUUCUAUUAUCCGUAUAAAUCUGUUGUUUUUAUUAAAUUGUUAAAAUAUAAAAGUGCAAUGUACUUUAUUCAAUUUGUUUCAAAUUAUUUAUUGAUUUCUACAAGAACAGUAUACAAGUA